AUGGCGGUCAACAAGAAGACCAAAGAAACAAUCCCUAGAGAUUUAAGUAUGUUGUUUGACAUCUGGACGAUCGCAUCUUCCUCGGUUUCCGCUUCCUCUUCAGCAAAACCAAAUCAGAACCUAAAUGCAAAAUAUGGACUUCGCCGUAAUUUUGCUGAGAAAUCCAGAGAUCUUCAAGUCUUUGUUCAGAUGAAGGUGGUGACAUUGAUUCUCGGAGAAAGGUUAUCGAGUAGAAUAUGCGUUGAAGGUGAUGGAAAAUGGAGCUUGAAUGCAGAGAGAGUUGAGAGUGAAGGUCGAAGAUGA